rnacentral:rRNA from 1 species
UACGUAGGUGACCAGCGUUGUCCGGAUUUACUGGGCGUAAAGAGCGCGCAGGCGGUCGUUCAAGUCGAGUGUGAAAGCCCCCGGCUCAACUGGGGAGGGUCACGCGAUACUGUUCGACUCGAAGGCAGGAGAGGGUAGUGGAAUUCCCGGUGUAGUGGUGAAAUGCGUAGAUAUCGGGAGGAACACCGGUGGCGAAGGCGGCCUUCUGGACGGUGACUGACGCUGAGGCGCGAAAGCGUGGGGAGCAAACGGG